UGGGGAAUUUUGGACAAUGGGCGCAAGCCUGAUCCAGCCAUGCCGCGUGCGGGAAGAAGGCCUUCGGGUUGUAAACCGCUUUUGUCAGGGAAGAAAUCUUCUGAGUUAAUACCUCGGGAGGAUGACGGUACCUGAAGAAUAAGCACCGGCUAACUACGUGCCAGCAGCCGCGGUAAUACGUAGGGUGCAAGCGUUAAUCGGAAUUACUGGGCGUAAAGCGUGCGCAGGCGGUUUUGUAAGACAGAGGUGAAAUCCCCGGGCUCAACCUGGGAACUGCCUUUGUGACUGCAAGGCUUGAGUGCGGCAGAGGGGGGAUGGAAUUCCGCGUGUAGCAGUGAAAUGCGUAGAUAUGCGGGGGAACACCGAUGGCGAAGGCAAUCCCCCUGGGCCUGCACUGACGCUCAUGCACGAAAGCGUGGGGGAGCAAACAGGAUUAGAUA
rnacentral:rRNA from 1 species